AGGAAAUUUGAGAGGAGCUGUCCUUAGUACGAGAGGACCGGGAUGGACAUACCUCUGGUGUACCAGUUGUCGUGCCAACGGCAUAGCUGGGUAGCUAUGUGUGGACGGGAUAAGUGCUGAAAGCAUCUAAGCAUGAAGCCCCCCUCAAGAUGAGAUUUCCCAACUUCGGUUAUAAGAUCCCUCAAAGAUGAUGAGGGUAAUAGGUUCGAGGUGGAAGCAUGGUGACAUGUGGAGCUGACGAAUACUAAUCGAUCGAAGACUUAAUCAA
rnacentral:rRNA from 1 species